CGACACCCACCAAACACACUUAUUAAGUAAGUGUGUUCGAGUGAAAGUGGCCAUCCGAAUGGGGCCCCGCCCUUCGUUGGGCGCGGGCAGAUUGGGUUGGCUGAAAUGUAGGGAAUUUGGCCGCCGUGGUAGAACAACCAGCGAUCAGGUGAUCAUCCGGGUGCAAACCCGGAAGAACUCAAACGUGCGCCGGUUGGGACGCCCAGUUGGUUCCAAGCUCCAAAGCAGGUCUCCCUCCCCCCUCGCUCCCAGGAGUGAAGGGAGAAGGAAAAACGUCACGC
rnacentral:misc_RNA from 1 species